rnacentral:lncRNA from 1 species
CCACAUCCAAAUCAAAUACUCUUACUCAAUUAAGCCAUGGCCAAGCUUCUCCAAACCCUAAUCUCCAUCGCCCUCCUCCUCGCCGCCGCCAACACGGCGCGGUCCCAAACGACGACCUUCGCCUACGACUUCUGGGGCGACCAGCCGACCGAGCUCCUCUACCAAGGCGACGCCCAUUUCCCGUCGGACUCCACCUUCCUCCGCAUGACCAAGACCACCUCCGGCAACGCGGUCGGGUACAGCGUCGGCCGGGUCGUGUACCCGACACCGGUCACGUUCUGGCAGGCCGGGGCGCAGGUCGACUUCGAGACCACCUUGAACUUCAUCAUAACCCCCAACCCCGGCGACACGAACCCGGCCGACGGCUUCACCUUCUUCAUCGCCCCCGUCGACCUACCCCUCGGCUUCACCGGCGGCAGCUACGGAAUCUUCAACUCCUCGGGCGUCGGCCCCUCCGUCUUCGCCGCGGAAUUCGACAUCUUCUCCAACCCCGGAGUGGAUCCCAGCUUUCGUCAUAUUGGGAUCGACAUCGAAUCUAAUGUUUCCAAAAAUGUGACCA